AGAGUUUGAUCCUGGCUCAGGGNUGAACGCUGGCGGCGUGCCUAAUACAUGCAAGUCGAACGAACCUUCGGGUUAGUGGCGAACGGCUGAGUAACACGUUGGAACCUGCCCUAAAGUAAGGCAUAGCCUCGGGAAACCGGGGGUAAUUCCUUAUGUGAUCUACGGAUUAAAGAUUUAUCGCUUUAGNGAGGGUCCAGCGGCCGAUUAGCUUGUUGGUAGGGUAACGGCCUACCAAGGCGACGAUCGGUAGCUGGUCUGAGAGGAUGAUCAGCCAGAUUGGAACUGAGACACGGUCCAGACUCCUACGGGAGGCAGCAGUAGGGAAUCUUCCACAAUGGGCGAAAGCCUGAUGGAGCAACGCCGCGUGCAGGAUUAAGGCUUUCGGGUCGUAAACUGCUUUUAUUUGGGAAGAUUAUGACGGUACCAAAUGAAUAAGGAUUGGCUAACUCCGUGCCAGCAGCCGCGGUCAUACGGAGGAUCCAAGCGUUACCCGGAUUUAUUGGGCGUAAAGCGUUGCGUAGGUGGUUUAGUAAGUGAGGUAUGAAAUGUUAGGGCUCAACCCUGAAGGUGUAUCUCAAACUACUAAACUUGAGGAUGGUAGAGGCAAGUGGAAUUCCAGGUGUAGGAGUGAAAUCCGUAGAUAUCUGGAGGAACACCAAU
rnacentral:rRNA from 1 species